AAGAGCAGCGACUUAAGAGAUGUCUUUAGAUUGAAGUCCAAAAUUGCAUUCCAAAGUACAAACUGGAUCAGAGGGAAAGAUCAAGAAUAGCUCUUUUGAAAACUUCUGGAGAAAUCCCCUUCACUCUGAUGAAAAUUUGCACUUUAAUGCAUCCACCAGGACACUAUGCCUAAUGCCAGAGAGCCCCAGCAGAGUGCAGAUAUUAGGAGGCUACAUUCAGAGCCUAGGAUAGAACGUUAUUUAAACUUUACAGUUCUGGGAGAUCAAAACUUCUGAAUCCACAAUAUAAAGAGGUAGUGAGGCCAUUUUAUGCACAGUGGGUGGCUGCAUACAAGCAUUUAAGACUCUUGAGAGGAUACAGUGCAUGAGAGAGACCAAAGUGAUGACUAUCAGGAGGAUAAUACCAAGAGGCUGAAAUAUUCCCUAUAACCAAAGACUCUG